rnacentral:rRNA from 1 species
AGUAACACGUGGGCAAUCUGCCCNGCNCUUCGGGAUAAGCCUGGGUAAACUGGGUCUAAUACCGGAUAGGACCUUUAGACGCANGUCUUUUGGUGGAAAGCUUUUGCGGUGUGGGAUGGGCCCGCGGCCUAUCAGCUUGUUGGUGGGGUGAUGGCCUACCAAGGCGACGACGGGUAGCCGGCCUGAGAGGGUGUCCGGCCACACUGGGACUGAGAUACGGCCCAGACUCCUACGGGAGGCAGCAGUGGGGAAUAUUGCACAAUGGGCGCAAGCCUGAUGCAGCGACGCCGCGUGGGGGAUGACGGCCUUCGGGUUGUAAACCUCUUUCACCAUCGACGAAGGUCCGGGUUUUCUCGGAUUGACGGUAGGUGGAGAAGAAGCACCGGCCAACUACGUGCCAGCAGCCGCGGUAAUACGUAGGGUGCGAGCGUUGUCCGGAAUUACUGGGCGUAAAGAGCUCGUAGGUGGUUUGUCGCGUUGUUCGUGAAAUCUCACGGCUUAACUGUGAGCGUGCGGGCGAUACGGGCAGACUAGAGUACUGCAGGGGAGACUGGAAUUCCUGGUGUAGCGGUGGAAUGCGCAGAUAUCAGGAGGAACACCGGUGGCGAAGGCGGGUCUCUGGGCAGUAACUGACGCUGAGGAGCGAAAGCGUGGGGAGCGAACAGGAUUAGAUACCCUGGUAGUCCACGCCGUAAACGGUGGGUACUAGGUGUGGGUUUCCUUCCUUGGGAUCCGUGCCGUAGCUAACGCAUUAAGUACCCCGCCUGGGGAGUACGGCCGCAAGGCUAAAACUCAAAGGAAUUGACGGGGGCCCGCACAA